GAACCUUUGAAUUAUUUCUCAAGGUGACCUCGGAUCAGGUAGGGAUACCCGCUGAACUUAAGCAUAUCAAUA
rnacentral:rRNA from 1 species